UUUUUUUUUUUUUUUUUUUCCAAAGGUUCAAAUAAGUCUCUAAAAUGUACCCAAAAAGUAAAUUGAAUCCCUAAAAAAGAUUUGAGCUUAAUCAAACUCCUCACACUUUAAUUUAGGCCAAAUAAAUCCCAAAUUAAAAGAGUUAACUUGCCGUGUUAAAAAAUUGGUAAAGUCGAUUUAAAUAAAUAAAAUAUUAUUUUUAACGUUUUAAGUCAUUAAAAAUAUAUUUUUUAAAAAAGUUAAAUUAUUUACAAAUACAAAAACCAGAGCUUAAUCAUUUCUCAACAAACCUUUAAUUCUUGGCAAAGGUAUGUGUUCUCCCAGAGAAACAAUUCAUGACCCUCUCAAUUCUUGGAAAUUUCUAGUUUUCCUAUGGUUAAAGCCAGUGAUAUCUUAUUCAGCACUAUCGUUUCAAUUUCUCUCCUUUUCUACUCUUCUUUCUCUAACCAAUCUCAGUGGCUGUCUUGUCCUGAACGCAAUUGAGUUUUGUUAUCUAGUCAUUGGAAAGUUAACCAAGAGUAAUGAUGCUUCUGAUGUUAAGAGCGCUAAUGCUUCUGAUGUUAGCUCUCAUGAUGGGUCUUCCAAGAUUGCCAUGGAGAUAACUGAAGCCAUAGAUGAUGUGAACUUGUUAACCACCGUCAAAGUGAUCAAAGGAUAUCCAAAGGAUUACCAGAGCUUCAAGGCCAUCGUUCAAGCGACACUCAAGUGGUAGGGCAGCUUGGUGUGCUAGACCUUGGAAUAUAUAUAUAGGGCUGUGCAAAAAAACUGAACCCAGUCGAAAAAUCGAAUUGAAUCAAAUUUGUUUAAUUUUUUUAGUUAAUUCAGGUCAAUUUGAUUUGAUUUGAUUUUGAGUUUUUAAUAAUUUUUAUUUUUCAAUUUGAUUCGAUUUUUAUAGAAAAAAAUAAAAAAAAUUGAACUGAAUUGAUUUCUCUCUCUAAAGUGUAAAUCAACCAUUUUCCCUUUCUAAAUUGAAUUGUUUUAAUCCCCCUAUGUAUAUAACAUGUUAUCCCUAAACCCUAACCAUUUACCCAAUCUCUCAGCCACUCCCCACCAAACAGUCAGUAACCUAGCCUUCUCUUCUCUCCAUGCUCUCAAACACCAUGACUCUCCUUCUACUCUUCCUCUUCUUCUUCGCAUCACCAUCAACCCAGCUUCAUGCUUCUCCUUCUUCUUCUUCUUCAUAACAUGCCAGCACCAUCACCGCGGUCCAAUGAUCACUCAUGCAUCAUCUUCUACAUCUUCAAUGGUCACACUCAAAUCCCAAAUAGGUAAAGUCAAGAUGCUAUUUGAAUUUGAGAUCUAGGUAUAGUUUUGCCUAAAAACUCUUCAAAUAGUGCUGUUGACUUCACAUUUUUGGACUUUGAAGAACAUUAAAUUUGUACUGUCAAUGAAAUUUAAUGGGAAAUUUGGUUUGUUUCUUUGAUUUGUUGAAUAUGUUGUGAUGAACUAACAUCUGAUUUGGAUAUUUAUAUUGUGUUUGCUUUUUGAUUUGUAGUUUACAUUAGUGUAAUGAAUUUGUAUCUUGUUAAUUUCUUUGAUUCAUUGAAUAUGUUUGCUUUUUUUUUUG
rnacentral:misc_RNA from 1 species